rnacentral:rRNA from 1 species
AUUGAACGCUGGCGGCAGGCCUAACACAUGCAAGUCGAGCGGAUGAAGGGAGCUUGCUCCUGGAUUCAGCGGCGGACGGGUGAGUAAUGCCUAGGAAUCUGCCUGGUAGUGGGGGAUAACGUCCGGAAACGGGCGCUAAUACCGCAUACGUCCUUAGGGAGAAAGUGGGGGAUCUUCGGACCUCACGCUAUCAGGUGAGCCUAGGUCGGAUUAGCUAGUUGGUGGGGUAAAGGCCUACCAAGGCGACGAUCCGUAACUGGUCUGAGAGGAUGAUCAGUCACACUGGAACUGAGACACGGUCCAGACUCCUACGGGAGGCAGCAGUGGGGAAUAUUGGACAAUGGGCGAAAGCCUGAUCCAGCCAUGCCGCGUGUGUGAAGAAGGUCUUCGGAUUGUAAAGCACUUUAGGUUGGGAGGAAGGGCAGUAAGUUAAUACCUUGCUGUUUUGACGUUACCAACAGAAUAAGCACCGGCUAACUUCGUG